ACGAUGUCGACUUGGAGGUUGUGCCCUUGAGGUGUGGCUUCCGGAGCUAACGCGUUAAGUCGACCGCCUGGGGAGUACGGCCGCAAGGUUAAAACUCAAAUGAAUUGACGGGGGCCCGCACAAGCGGUGGAGCAUGUGGUUUAAUUCGAUGCAACGCGAAGAACCUUACCUGGUCUUGACAUCCACGGAAGUUUUCAGAGAUGAGAAUGUGCCUUCGGGAACCGUGAGACAGGUGCUGCAUGGCUGUCGUCAGCUCGUGUUGUGAAAUGUUGGGUUAAGUCCCGCAACGAGCGCAACCCUUAUCCUUUGUUGCCAGCGGUCCGGCCGGGAACUCAAAGGAGACUGCCAGUGAUAAACUGGAGGAAGGUGGGGAUGACGUCAAGUCAUCAUGGCCCUUACGACCAGGGCUACACACGUGCUACAAUGGCGCAUACAAAGAGAAGCGACCUCGCGAGAGCAAGCGGACCUCAUAAAGUGCGUCGUAGUCCGGAUUGGAGUCUGCAACUCGACUCCAUGAAGUCGGAAUCGCUAGUAAUCGUGGAUCAGAAUGCCACGGUGAAUACGUUCCCGGGCCUUGUACACACCGCCCGUCACACCAUGGGAGUGGGUUGCAAAAGAAGUAGGUAGCUUAACCUUCGGGAGGGCGCUUACCACUUUGUGAUUCAUGACUGGGGUGAAGUCGUAACAAGGUAACCGUAGGGGAACCUGCGGUUGGAUCACCUCCUUACCUUAAAGAAGC
rnacentral:rRNA from 1 species